rnacentral:tRNA from 1 species
CAGAGAAUAGUUUAAUAAAAUAUUAGUUUUGGGAAUUAAAGAUAAAGGAUCAACUCUUUUUCUCUGA